AGUCUAAAUAUUUUUGCCAAGUUUGCAAUUAUCCCGCCUAUAGCCACUAUAACCUCUUUCUCCAUAACCAAAGUGAAGAACAUAUUCGCAAGCUGGUUGAGAAACAGGCUCAAGAAGAGGAGGAUUGCCAGAGCAGGAAGACAAAUCCAGAAUUGGAUCUCUUCUACGAGAGAAA